rnacentral:RNase_P_RNA from 1 species
GAAGCUGACCAGACAGUCGCCGCUUCGUCGUCGUCCUGAAAGGGAGACGGGCGGAGGGGAGGAAAGUCCGGGCUCCAUAGGGCAGGGUGCCAGGUAACGCCUGGGGGGCGCAAGCCUACGACCAGUGCAACAGAGAGCAAACCGCCGAUGGCCCGUAAGGGAUCAGUAAGGGUGAAAGGGUGCGGUAAGAGCGCACCGCGCGGCUGGCAACAGUCCGUGGCACGGUAAACUCCACCCGGAGCAAGGCCAAAUAGGGGUUCACAUGGUACGGCCCGUACUGAACCCGGGUAGGCUGCUUGAGCCAGUGAGCGAUUGCUGGCCUAGAGGAAUGACUGUCCACGACAGAACCCGGCUUACCGGUCAGCUUCACCU